CCUACGGGAGGCUGCAGUGGGGAAUAUUGGACAAUGGGGGCAACCCUGAUCCAGCCAUGCCGCGUGUGUGAAGAAGGCCCUCGGGUUGUAAAGCACUUUCAGUGAGGAAGAACGCCUGGUGGUUAAUACCCAUCAGGAAAGACAUCACUCACAGAAGUAGCACCGGCUAACUCCGUGCCAGCAGCCGCGGUAAUACGGAGGGUGCGAGCGUUAAUCGGAAUUACUGGGCGUAAAGCGCGCGUAGGUGGCUUGAUAAGCCGGUUGUGAAAGCCCCGGGCUCAACCUGGGAACGGCAUCCGGAACUGUCAAGCUAGAGUGCAGGAGAGGAAGGUAGAAUUCCCGGUGUAGCGGUGAAAUGCGUAGAGAUCGGGAGGAAUACCAGUGGCGAAGGCGGCCUUCUGGACUGACACUGACACUGAGGUGCGAAAGCGUGGGUAGCAAACAGGAUUAGAUACCCUAGUAGUC
rnacentral:rRNA from 1 species